rnacentral:rRNA from 1 species
AGAGUUUGAUCAUGGCUCAGGACGAACGCUGGCGGCGUGCCUAAUACAUGCAAGUCGAACGAAGCUUUCUUUCACCGAAUGCUUACAUUCACCGAAAGAAGCUUAGUGGCGAACGGGUGAGUAACACGUAGGCAACCUGCCCAAAAGAGGGGGAUAACACUUGGAAACAGGUGCUAAUACCGCAUAACCAUGAACACCGCAUGAUGUUCAUGUAAAAGACGGCUUUUGCUGUCACUUUUGGAUGGGCCUGCGGCGUAUUAACUUGUUGGUGGGGUAACGGCCUACCAAGGUGAUGAUACGUAGCCGAACUGAGAGGUUGAUCGGCCACAUUGGGACUGAGACACGGCCCAAACUCCUACGGGAGGCAGCAGUAGGGAAUCUUCCACAAUGGACGAAAGUCUGAUGGAGCAACGCCGCGUGAAUGAAGAAGGCCUUCGGGUCGUAAAAUUCUGUUGUCAGAGAAGAACGUGCGUGAGAGUAACUGUUCACGUAUUGACGGUAUCUGACCAGAAAGCCACGGCUAACUACGUGCCAGCAGCCGCGGUAAUACGUAGGUGGCGAGCGUUGUCCGGAUUUAUUGGGCGUAAAGGGAACGCAGGCGGUCUUUUAAGUCUGAUGUGAAAGCCUUCGGCUUAACCGAAGUAGUGCAUUGGAAACUGGAAGACUUGAGUGCAGAAGAGGAGAGUGGAACUCCAUGUGUAGCGGUGAAAUGCGUAGAUAUAUGGAAGAACACCAGUGGCGAAAGCGGCUCUCUGGUCUGUAACUGACGCUGAGGUUCGAAAGCGUGGGUAGCAAACAGGAUUAGAUACCCUGGUAGUCCACGCCGUAAACGAUGAGUGCUAAGUGUUGGAGGGUUUCCGCCCUUCAGUGCUGCAGCUAACGCAUUAAGCACUCCGCCUGGGGAGUACUGUCGCAAGACUGAAACUCAAAGGAAUUGACGGGGGCCCGCACAAGCGGUGGAGCAUGUGGUUUAAUUCGAAGCAACGCGAAGAACCUUACCAGGUCUUGACAUCUUCUGACAAUUCCAGAGAUGGAACGUUCCCUUCGGGGACAGAAUGACAGGUGGUGCAUGGUUGUCGUCGGCUCGUGUCGUGAGAUGUUGGGUUAAGUCCCGCAACGAGCGCAACCCUUAUUGUCAGUUGCCAUCAUUAAGUUGGGCACCCUGGCGAGACUGCCGGUGACAAACCGGAGGAAGGUGGGGAUGACGUCAAAUCAUCAUGCCCCUUAUGACCUGGACUACACACGUGCUACAAUGGACGGUACAACGAGUCGCUAACUCGCGAGGGCAAGCUAAUCUCUUAAAGCCGUUCUCAGUUCGGAUUGCAGGCUGCAACUCGCCUGCAUGAAGUCGGAAUCGCUAGUAAUCGCGAAUCAGCAUGUCGCGGUGAAUACGUUCCCGGGCCUUGUACACACCGCCCGUCACACCAUGAGAGUUUGUAACACCCAAAGUCGGUGGGGUAACCUUUUGGAGCCAGCCGCCUAAGGUGGGACAGAUGAUUGGGGUGAAGUCGUAACAAGGUA